GAAUCAAUAUCGGGGUGCUUAGGCUGAGAAAUACCCGCAAAAACCUGAUCUGGAUAAUCCCAGCGUAGGAAAUAUUGAAUCUUAAGGA
rnacentral:ncRNA from 1 species